rnacentral:rRNA from 1 species
AUGCAGAGAACUUCCAGAGAUGGAUUGGUGGCCUUCGGGAACUCUGACACAGGUGCUGCAUGGCUGUCGUUAGCUCGUGUCGUGAGAUGUUGGGUUAAGUCCGUAACGAGCGCAACCCUUGUCCUUAGUUACCGGCACGUUAUGGUGGGCACUCUAAGGAGACUGCCGGUGACAAACCGGAGGAAGGUGGGGAUGACGUCAAGUCAUCAUGGCCCUUACGGCCUGGGCUACACACGUGCUACAAUGGUCGGUACAAAGGGUUGCCAAGCCGCGAGGUGGAGCUAAUCCCAUAAAACCGAUCGUAGUCCGGAUCGCAGUCUGCAACUCGACUGCGUGAAGUCGGAAUCGCUAGUAAUCGUGAAUCAGAAUGUCACGGUGAAUACGUUCCCGGGCCUU